CCUGGCUCAGGAUGAACGCUGGCGGCGCGCCUAACACAUGCAAGUCGAACGAGCGAGAGAGASCUUGCUUUCUYGAGCGAGUGGCGAACGGGUGAKUAACGSGUGAGGAACCUGCYUCAAAGAGGGGGACAACAGUUGGAAACGASUGCUAAUACCGCAUAAGUCCACGGCUCGGCAUCGAGCAGGGGGAAAAGGAGCAAUCCGCUUWGAGAUGGCCUCGCGUCCGAUUAGCUAGUUGGUGAGGUAACGGCCCACCAAGGCAACGAUCGGUAGCCGGACUGAGAGGUUGAACGGCCACAUUGGGACUGAGACACGGCCCAGACUCCUACGGGAGGCAGCAGUGGGGAAUAUUGCACAAUGGGGGAAACCCUGAUGCAGCGACGCCGCGUGGAGGAAGAAGGUCUUCGGAUUGUAAACUCCUGUUGUUGGGGAAGAUAAUGACGGUACCCAACAAGGAAGUGACGGCUAACUACGUGCCAGCAGCCGCGGUAAAACGUAGGUCACAAGCGUUGUCCGGAAUUACUGGGUGUAAAGGGAGCGCAGGCGGGAAGACAAGUUGGGAGUGAAAUCUAUGGGCUCAACCCACAAACUGCUUUCAAAACUGUUUUUCUUGAGUAGUGCAGAGGUAGGCGGAAUUCCCGGUGUAGCGGUGGAAUGUGUAGAUAUCGGGAAGAACACCAAUGGCGAAGGCAGGUCUCUGGGCCGUCACUGACGCUGAGGAGCGAAAGCGUGGGGAGCGAACAGGAUUAGAUACCCUGGUAGUCCACGCCGUAAACGGUGGAUGCUGGAUGUGGGGACCAUUCCACGGUCUCCGUGUCGGAGCCAACGCGUUAAGCAUCCCGCCUGGGGAGUACGGCCGCAAGGCUAAAACUCAAAGAAAUUGACGGA
rnacentral:rRNA from 1 species